AGGAAAAUGUCGCUGGUGGGGAGAGCGGCCCCGGGGUGGGAUGCCGUCACCCCUCGGAGCCUGUGCCACCAUCCCAUGCCACAUCCACCUGCAGCGUGGCUGAGCUUGAGGCUCAAACCCUUCCUGUGCUGGGAGCUGGGGAGAAAGCGGGCACAGCGCACAGAGCACCGCAGAGCUGGGGGCACAAGCUCCUGGAGCUCUGUGGGUUUGGCUGUGGUUUAAUGAGCCUGAGAGAAGCCCCGAGCGCAGCCCGCUGCCCUGCUCAGACAGCCGGCCGCGCAGCAGCCGAGGGGUUAAGCUGAGCCCCGGAGAUGUGCCGCACUCAGCAACUUGUAGGAAUGCAGUGGCCGGAGGGAGAUGGAGAAAGGACAAACAUCUGAAGAUGGAUGGAGUGUUUCGGUUCAGACCCGUUGUUGGACACGAUGAACUCAAAGUUAAUCACCAGAGUGUUUUCUGGGAAGUGCUCUGCUGGGUUAGAGCCCCAUCCUGCCAAAGACUUCCAGACUGGGUCAAGAACGCCAGGUUUUGUGCCGUGCGUAAGAUCGCCUGAGUUUGCUCUCCCAGCUUUGCAGAAGACAUUAGUUACACAGAGCUCACGGACGCAAUGGUACAUGGAAGGAAGCAUUCAGAGCAUUCAUAUUAAAUCUCAGCUGCACCACAGAGAGCGCAAGGAAAUCUGCCGCCGUCGGGCCUGGAAGGAGAAGCUGCGGGGCCUGGGCAGAGAGGGAGGAAAGCGAGGCCCUGCUCACUGCGUGGUCUGCAUGUGCGCUCCCUGCGGAUUUCCCCUAGCACGUGCCAUUGAACGCCACUUUUCUCACGCUUGGGCUGCCUGCACGACAUCCCUUCCUGGGGGACCUCGGCCAGGGGGCCUCCUGCCCCAACACCCCGAGCUCGGCUCCUUCCCGUCCCGCUGUGGCGGCGCAGAGCGGGGCCAGGGAUGGGCCAGCCCUGCACAGCCCUGGCACGUCCCAAAACCAGCGCUUCUGAAACCAAACCAAAUCUCCCUGGCCAAGCUCAUUUGGCACUGAUGAAAAAGCAAAAGAAAUCAGAAAGAGAAGCCUGGUCCCGCUCAGCCACGGGGCUGCUCCGUGCCACGGGCAGCCCCCAGCCCGGCCGUUCCCCCCGCAGCCGCGGGGGGGUCUCUGAGGGGCGGGGGGUGCAGGCUGUGGUCCGGAGGGGCGAGGGCGUGCACGCUGCCAGCAGCCCUGUCCCAAACCCACUGACACCCCAGUGCCGUCCCCUGAGACCCACGCUGCCCUCCCCGUCCUGCCUGGCUGCCACUCGCUGCGGGGAAGGUGCCGAGCCAGUGGAGAGUGGGGGUCACUGGUGGACCCGCAGCCAGGGUAAAGUGGGGCGUCAGAGCGGGGACAGCCCCGCUGCAAGGGGGGGCACUCUCAUCGCCCUCAACAAAACCCAGCCCCAAGGUGGAUUGCUACGGGAUGGAUCCACUGAAUAAACAGAGCCACUUUCCUGCAAAUGGGAUAAAAACGCGCAGAACCUCCUAAAGCAGCAGGGACGGUGUCAGCCAAAGCCAGGAGAAAAGUAUUGACUGAUGGAGGCACCAGAUACAGCCUGGGUUGCGCUGAGGAAUAUUUUGGCCUCGAAUGCCUAGAAAUGUUUUUGUUAAGUGUCACAAAGCACUUCAUCACUGCGAGAGGAUUUUGGGGUAACCACGGCGCAGCAGCUUUGUGUUCGUGCGAGAGGCUGAGGCGAGCCUGGCCAGGGAGUGAUUAGAAAUCAAAAAGGAACCAAUUAGCCCACUUCCCUCCACCAGCUGCACGGGAGUGCAGAAAUGAAACAAAAGGCAUGAGGGAGCAUAAGGAGAUUUACAUUUGCGAAGCUAUUUCCAUUUUAAUAAGCCAAAGUGCUGUUAAAUAGAGAUGGAUAUUUCUCCCCAAAUA